GUCAAUUGUCCAGUCAUUGCGUACCUGUAGAGCAGUUAGAAAAAUACACAACAGUUAUAUUGCUACAAAACAAAUGAUACUUGUAAUGAUCUGAGAAGAUAAGAAAUAAAGAUGUUAAUAAGUUGACAAUUUCAAUAUAUAUGGGUGCAUAUACAGAAGAAAAUAACUUCCAAUGGAUGGAAUUACUAGAAUCUUAUACAACAGAGCAGAAGUUUCACAGCUUUCAAAAAUCCUUCCCAGAGAUCACAAGCAUCAUGUCACACCCAUUUCCCAUAAAAGGACAAAUAAAAUCAUAAAAAAAAAGGUAGAAAGAGAAUAUAGUGGCAAAAUGGAGAGGUGCAUAUUUUUAAGAAAGCACAAGUUUCAAUAAGAAGUGCCAGUGUGAAUAAACAAAGUAACUGUACACAAAAGAGCAGUUAAGGGAUCAAAGUAAUUCACAGAAAAUCCUCCUACAAACUACAUUCCAAAUCCAAACACAUGUCAAAUGAAGAAAGUUGAAUCUUUAAUAAUAUACUAUUUCUUCCAAUGAGCCAUUACAAGAAAAUUGUAGGAACUGCAUUCUUCAACCAGGUCCUCAUACUUAAAACAAGUGGACUUCAGACACUAAUUGCCAACUAAUAAAGGUUUAGGAAAACAGCUGAAGACUUAAAAAUUAAAACACGAAGGUUUCAAAUACACCCUAAAAAUCAAUGUAAACGCUGUAUACAGCACAAAAUUGAACUUCCAAUUCCGGAAAUUUGAACUAGGUAUUAUAUAAAUGCUUAUCUUCUAUAUUCAAUAUGAAAUCCAAUAGAUAAUAACUUAAGUCCGAAUGCAAGCACAUAAAACGCCAUAAAAGCAGAAUUGGGAUUAUUUUCUGGAACAAUUCUACUGAAAAUUGGGAUACUUCACACUCAAGGACAUGACACUUGCCACUCAAGUUCAAAACUCAGAAGCAUUUUCAAGAAAUUUACAUACAAUGGCUAUUUUCAUGAUUAAUCACUUUCUAUAGCUAACAUGAGAACUCAGAACAGAUUGGCUUAAAAAUUUUGAUGUUAAAAUUACAAAUUCAACAAUACACACACUUAAGAGUAAGACCACGUCUGCUAUAAUUCUGGACACUUUCCAUGUCCAAACAUGACUUUGAAUCCUAGUUCUCUGUUCAUUAAAAUAUUAACUAACUGAUGCAACUUAUCUCAAUCAAGUUGAUGAUAAAAUUUAUCUUGCCCAUGUAGUUAAAGACAACAAAAUCAAUUCAUGUAAAAGACACUCAUAAACUCAAUUUCCAUAACCAUGUUUUUUCUGCAAUUUUGCAACACAUAGUAACCAGUUGGCGUAUGUGUAUAUAUGCACAAUUGCACAUACAUA
rnacentral:misc_RNA from 1 species